rnacentral:rRNA from 1 species
GACGAACGCUGGCGGCGUGCUUAACACAUGCAAGUCGAACGGAAAGGCCCUGCUUUUGUGGGGUGCUCGAGUGGCGAACGGGUGAGUAACACGUGAGUAACCUGCCCUUGACUUUGGGAUAACUUCAGGAAACUGGGGCUAAUACCGGAUAGGAGCUCCUGCUGCAUGGGGGGGGCUGGAAAGCUUCGGCGGUUGGGGAUGGACUCGCGGCUUAUCAGCUUGUUGGUGGGGUAGUGGCUUACCAAGGCCUUGCCGGGUAGCCGGCCUGAGAGGGUGACCGGCCACAUUGGUACUGAGAUACGGCCCAGACUCCUACGGGAGGCAGCAGUGGAGAAUAUUGCACAAUGAGCGGAAGCGUGAUGCAGCAACGCCGCGUGCGGGAUGACGGCCUUCGGGUUGUAAACCGCUUUCGCCUGUGACGAAGCGUGGGUGACGGUAAUGGGUAAAGAAGCACCGGCUAACUACGUG